UACGUAGGGGGCAAGCGUUAAUCGGAAUUACUGGGCGUAAAGCGUGCGCAGGCGGUUAUGUAAGACAGAUGUGAAAUGCCCGGGCUUAACCUGGGAACUGCAUUUGUGACUGCAUGGCUAGAGUGUGUCAGAGGGGGGUAGAAUUCCACGUGUAGCAGUGAAAUGCGUAGAUAUGUGGAGGAACACCGAUGGCGAAGGCAGCCCCCUGGGAUAACACUGACGCUCAUGCACGAAAGCGUGGGGAGCAAACAGG
rnacentral:rRNA from 1 species